UGACGGUAACGUGCGAUGCAGCCUCGAC
rnacentral:sRNA from 1 species